rnacentral:rRNA from 1 species
AACGGCGAGUGAAGCGGGAAGAGCUCAAAUUUGAAAGCUGGCGCCUUCGGCGUCCGCGUUGUAAUCUCGAGAAGCGUUUUCCGCGCUGGACCAUGUACAAGUUCCUUGGAAUAGGACGUCAUAGAGGGUGAAAAUCCCGUACUUGACAUGGAUGCCCAGUGCUUUGUGAUACGCUCUCCACGAGUCGAGUUGUUUGGGAAUGCAGCUCAAAAUGGGUGGUAAAUUCCAUCUAAAGCUAAAUAUUGGGGAGAGACCGAUAGCGAACAAGUACCGUGAGGGAAAGAUGAAAAGCACUUUGGAAAGAGAGUUAAAUAGUACGUGAAAUUGUCGAAAGGGAAGCGCUUGAAGUUAGACAUGCGCGUUGGAAUUCAGCCUUGCUUUUGCUUGGUGCAUUUUCYGGUGUGCAGGCCWGCAUCAGUUUUGACUGUCGGAUAAGGGUAGGAGGAAUGUGGCCCCUCGGGGUGUUAUAGCCUCCUACUGGAUACGGCGGUUGGGACUGAGGACUGCAGUGUGCCUUUAUGGCGGGCCUUCGGGCAC